UACGUAGGGUGGCAAGCGUUAUCCGGAAUUAUUGGGCGUAAAGAGCUCGUAGGCGGUUUGUCGCGUCUGCUGUGAAACUGGAGGCUCAACCUCCAGCCUGCAGUGGGUACGGGCAGACUAGAGUGCGGUAGGGGAGAUUGGAAUUCCUGGUGUAGCGGUGGAAUGCGCAGAUAUCAGGAAGAACACCCGUGGCGAAGGCGGCUCUCUGGGACGGUACUGACGCUGAGACGCGAAAGCGUGGGGAGCGAACAG
rnacentral:rRNA from 1 species